UACGUAGGUGGCAAGCGUUGUCCGGAAUUACUGGGUGUAAAGGGAGCGCAGGCGGGAAGCCAAGUCAGCUGUGAAAACUACGGGCUUAACUUGUAGACUGCAGUUGAAACUGGUUUUCUCGAGUGAAGUAGAGGUUGGCGGAAUUCCGAGUGUAGCGGUGAAAUGCGUAGAUAUUCGGAGGAACACCGGUGGCGAAGGCGGCCAACUGGCCUGUAACUGACACUGAGGCUCGAAAGCGUGAGGAGCAAACAGG
rnacentral:rRNA from 1 species